AGUAUUACAAAUUCGGGCAGACAUAUUUGAUGCUAAAUUUUCUAUUCGUAAAAUUUCGUGUAAUUUUGUUUUCGAUUGUGAAGUGAAAACUAUUUUCUUAUUGAUAUAGGUAAGAUAUAAUUCUCUUUAUGUAAAAAUUAACGAAAUAUGUCCAAUUAAAGUUUCCAGGAAAAUGAACGAAUUCAGUGUAUUACAUUUUAUGGAAUGCUAAGGUUUUAUAAUUUUUUUUUAAUAUUUUCAAAGUAAUGAAAAUUAAGCAUUUUCUUCAGAUAAUUUGGAAUUGUGUGAAUUAUUGAUUUACUUAUAAACAUUAAACAAACGAUAAUCUAAAAUAUAGCAUCAAAAAGUUCGUUUAUCUUUGUCUGUCUGGACAGCAUGUCGGCCAUCUUUGUAGGUCGACUCAAUUAUUGUUCACGUCAAAUCUUUUCAACUGUAAUGUGUUUUUUCAUAUAAAAAUAUAUAUAGAUAUUAAUAUUAAAACACCUUAUAUCGAUUGUAAUACAAAAUAGUUAUUAUUAGAUAAAUAAAAUACAGAGAUAUCGGAUCUGUUUAAUAACGACAAAAAAAUCUUUCGAUUUCUAGUUUUAAAAAUGUGACUAAUGUUGAAAAUUUUCAAUGGAAACUUUGGAAAUUUUCAGUAUAUCGAUAGAAAAUAGUUUUUAAUUUAAAAUUUUCGUGAAACGGAUUGAAAAUAAACAUUAAAAGAAUUUUCCGUGCUUCAAUACAAUAUUGUGUGGUGAAAAUCAUGGAUACCCAGAAAAUUUUUAACUACCAAGAUAGUCAUUUCCUCAUUUGUGAACUGGUGUUGGUGCGCGAUUCCACGCGAAAUUUUAACACGUUAACGAAACAAAAGGUAAAUGUAGUGCACGUUCCAUAAUGCGGUUUGCCAAAAAGUAGUUGAUUGUUGGAUAAAUAACAAAAAAAAUGGUUUUCCAUUUUUCAUAACAAAUAUUUCAAACGACAUAUUUUACGUUUCUACUUGGUACUGCUAGAUAAUUCAAUUCAUUUAAACGUACGAUGAAAUUUUCCAAUAUUUUAAAUCAAAUAAAUUUUUCUCCAUCCAUUAUUCCAAAAUAUAUGCUGAUAAAUUGAUAUUUUUCCCAAAAAUUGAAUGUAACACAAUUUCAAUAUGAUAUACGAGGAAUAUCCACUAAGAAAGUUCCAUUUGGUUAUAAAAAAACAUACGAGCAGGUCAAAAAACAUAUUUUUCAUGCUGUUAACCUAAUUUUCUAUGUAGUUUCGAAAAUUUUUUAAACACUUGUUUUUGUAUGCCUCCUCCAUGUUCUUCCGGCUCGUUUCAACUUUUAGCGAGAGAUUUCAGGUAUAAAAAGAGAUGAAAGUCGGUAGGAGUGAGGUCCGAGCUAUACGGAGGAUGAUCAAACACACCCCAGCCAAAUUCUUGGAGCGGUUUUUUUGUCACGUCACAGUGGGAGAUGGGGCAUUAUCGUGAAAAAAAACAAAAACCAUUUGACAGUAAUCCUCGGAGUUUGCCCUGUUUCUUAAUUUCCACGCAUGUGCCUAAAUCAAACGGCAAAACGUCGGAGCAAACGGUGGAAAUGAGUUGUCGAGGUGUCGAAAUUUGCUUAGGGGUAUCGUAAGAUACCAAAAUUUCAUCCCCUAUGACUAUUCGAAAUAUAGGUUAGAAAAGGAACUUAAAUUGUGGAUGUACCUCGUAUGAAGGAAAUACUAAAAUCAAUUAUUAAAACUUUUUAUUCAAAUUUUUCUGAAAUUUUCGGUCCGAAUUAUUGCAUCAAAUUUUGAUUGAAAUGAUUUUUUUUGUUAUUUAUUGAGUGAGCAGAACUUUGAUCAGAUGUUGUUGGUUUUUGUGUUUUUUGGAAUCCUAAGAAUAUUUUGUUGAGAUUAAUACAGUUACAGAUUUAAUUAUUGAAGAAAAAUAGAUUGAAUUUAUUUUUGAAUAACUUUUUUAACAUUCAGAAAGUUUUAACAAAUAUCCAAAUUUCGACUACUCCCUUACAUUCAAACAGAAGAUUGUUAAUAUUUAUGACUAAAACUAAUUUUUCUCAUUAUAUGAUACUGAUCAAAUAAAAUCUUGACGUUGUUAUUUUGGAUUGAUCAAUUCUUUUCAGCGUUUACUGUAACACAUUUAAGUCCAGUAAAUAUUUGAUGAAUAAUUAUGAUGAUAAUCAUAUGAUAGAAUUGCUCGAAUACACCUCAAAUUCACUUUGAUUCGAAAUAGUAGUACAUGGAUCCUUCUGAUCAAUAUAAAUGAUAAUUAGAUAAUUAAGUAACUUGAAGAUGUGAUUUCCAUUCAAAUGACUUUCCGAGUAAUCUGUUGAGAUUUUCCUGAUCUUUGAGAACAAAUCUGUUGGGUUAAUGAGAUGAUUGUGUGAUGAAUGUCAUAAAUGAGGUAGGCAACCGCCGCGAUAUGGAAAAGUGAUUCGUAAUUUUCGGUAUCGAUUUCGCUGUGUCGCGAAUCGGUUUUAAGUGAUGGAUAUCAUGGAAAUGGAAAAUGGAUAUGGAGGCUUUCCUAUGUGGACAAAGUUAUGUGUUUGUGCGCGAUUCGACGCAAAAUUUUAACCCGUUAACGAAACGAAAAAUAUAUAGUGUGCGAAUCGAUAAAGCGGUUUGCCAAAAGGAAGGUGAUUGUUGAAUAAAUAACAAUAAAACAUAUUUCUUCAAUUUUUGUAACAAAUAUGUAUUUUAAAUUACAAAUAUAUGUGUUUCUAAAAUGGAAAUGCUGCUGCAUGGGGAAUAUAUGAAUACAUGUAAAAUUCUAUUUUCUAUUAUCGUUUUUCUGUGUCACGUUUCUUUCCAAAACUUAACCUGUCUGAAAAAAAAAUUUUUUAUGUAAUAAAUUUUUUACAAAUUAAAUUUACAAAUAUAAAAAAAAUUAUAGAUAUCUGGAGAAUAAUAUUCGUAUGAAUUUGUCUUUUUAUGUUUGUUUUUUUCAGUUAAGUAAAUUGAAAGUAUGUGUGUGAUAAUUAUUGUAUCUUGUAUGCGUGUGUAAAAAAUUCCGUUUUGCAAUCUUCAUAUCGAUGGCUACUUCAUUUGUUAUAAAUUUUCGUUUUUCUCUCCCAAACUGGACCUGAAAUUUAAAAAUAUAAAAUGUUGUAAACUUCGAAUAUGUGAAGUACUUUGAUAAUAAUUGAAUGAUAAAAUAAUUAUACCCUGUUUUGUUCUUAUGCAGAAAUUGAUAAAAUUGAAUUCUUCGAGAUGAAAAUUACAUUUUUUUAAUAAUAAUUCGAAAAAAAAAAACAUAUUUUCUGGACAUUUUAUUUUAUAAUCGACUGUGAACAAUUUAUUCAAACGUUAAUUGUUUCUAAGUCAUAUCAACCCUUAAAAAAAGAAAACUGCAUCUGUUUCUUUUUUAAUUUUGAAUGUUUUCUGCUCAAGUUAGUUAAAUUAAAUGGAAAAUUUUUUCAAACGUAAAUUAUUUCUAAUAUAUAUCAAUCAUUUAAAAAAAACACUGAAUCUGUUUAUUUUUAAUAUUCUCUGAUCAAGUUAAUAGAAGAAAGUAUGUAUGUAAUAAUGAUAAAUACCUUUUACGGAAUGGAAAUUUUCCAAAGUCCAUCAAAUAGGAAGCAAACUUGUGUGAAAAAUCAAGUUUUCCAAUCUUCAUAUCGACAGCUAUUUCAUUUGUUAUAAAUUUUCGUCUUUCUUUCCCAAACUGGACCUGAAAUUUAAAAAUAUAAAAUAUUGUAAAUUUCGGAUCUGUGGAUUACUUUGAUAAUUGAUUGAUAAAAUUAUUAUACACUGUUUUGUUCUUAUGCAGAAAUUUAUAAAAUUAAAUUUUUCGAAACUAAAAUUCCAUAUUUUUAAUAAUAAUUUGAAAAAAAAAUCAUUUUCUGGACUAUUUUAUUAAUUGAGCCACUUGGAAAAAUUUUUCAAAGUUAUUAUACAUCGUUGUUUUCUAAAACAAAUUUUCAUAAAAUUGAAUUUUUCUAAACUAAAAUUCCAUAUUUUUAAUAAUCAUUUGAAAAAAAAAUCAUUCUUUGGACUAUUUUAUCAUAUAAGCGACUUGGGAAAAUUUUUCAAAGUUAUUAUACAUUGUUUUUUACUAGAACAAAUUUUUAUAAAAUUGAAUUUUUCGAAACUAAAAUUCCAUGUUUUUAAUAAUCAUUUGAAAAAAAAUCAUUUUCUGGACUAUUUUAUCAUAUAAGCGACUUGGAAAAAAUUUUGAAAAUUAUUAUACAUCGUUUUUUACUAGAACAAAUUUUUAUAAAAUUGAAUUUUUCGAAACUAAAAUUCCAUGUUUUUAAUAAUCAUUUGAAAAAAAAUCAUUUUCUGGACUAUUUUAUCAUAUAAGCGACUUGGAAAAAUUUUCAAAGUUAUACAUCGUUUUUUACUAAAACAAAUUUUUAUAAAAUUGAAUUUUUCGAAACUAAUAUUCCAUGUUUUUAAUAAUAAUUUGAAAAAAAAAUCAUUUUCUAGACUACAUAUUUUAUCAUAUAAACGACUUGGAAAAAUUUUUCAAAGUAAUCUUACAUGGUUUUUUUCUAAAACAAAUUUUUAUAAAAUUGAAUUUUUCGAAAGUAAAAUUCCAUUUCUUCAAUAAUCAUUUGAAAAAAAAAAUCAUUUUCUAGUCUAUUUUAUUAAUUAAGCCAUUUGGAAAAUAUUUUCAAACGUAAAUUAUUUCUAAUUUAUAUCAUUAAAAAACACUGCAUCUAUUCUUUUUUAAUAUUCUCUGGUGAAGUUAACAGAAGAAAGUAUGUAUGUAAUAAUAAUAAAUACCUUUCACGAAAUGGAAAUUUUCCAAAGUCCAUCAAAUAGGAAGCAAACUUGUGUAAAAAAUUAAGUUUCUCAAUCUUCAUUUGUAUAAAUGUUCAUCCUUCUUUUCCAUUAUCGACUUAAAAAUUUGAAAUUUGAAGAUAUAAAAUCAUGUGAUAAAUAUCUAACGUAAACUCCGAAACAUUUAAUUGAAUUAUAAAAUUAUUAUACACUGUUUUUUUUUCAAUGUAGAAUAUUAUAAAAUUAAAUUUUUGAAAGGUAGAAUAUUCUCUAUUAAUUUUUGGGACAAACGGUGUUGGUGUUCAUAAUUUUGAACCUUUCACCACAAAAAUACUAAGAAGAAUGAAAAAUGCCCCACCCCACAUGUUCUGGUCGCUUUGUUGGGAUUGGCUACAUCUUUCGAACCCUUGUUUCGAUUGGCCGAGAACAAAGUUGGGUGAAAGAAGAAGGGCCUCUGUUAUAAAAACGUCGUUUUCAUCCAUUGUAUGUCAUUACAUUAUAAAUUUUCGCGGCGCUUAAGCUUACGUUGUAACUUAUUCUAAAUCCUUUUGAAAAUUUUUGUGAAUUGUGAAGUGCAUCAUUUACAAAUGUAAGUAAUUUCUGUCUUUACUAUUUUCAUUUUUGUAUUAUUGAUGUUUAAUAUUUUUGUGAAUAUAAAAUUUAUUUCUCAAAUAAUAUUCUGGAUAUAUUUUUAUCUUUUGGACUUAUUUCAUUUUUUUAUUUCUGGAAUUGUGAUAUUUUAAAAUUGUUUUUUUUUUCUUUAAUUUUUUUUUCAAUCUUCAAUUAUUUUCUUAUAUUUAAAUUUCAAGUGCAAUUUUGUGGAUAAAUGUUAAAUUUUCACUGUAUAAUUAUUCCAGAUUUUCAAUUGUUAUUUUGAAAUUAGUUAUUCAUUGUUACUGUAUACUUUCAUACAUUUUAUUUCCCGUAGAAGAUCUUGUCAUCUUCGUUUUGAGUUCUUACAAUUUUUUUCAUUAUAAUAUCUGUAUGAAAUUUCUUAAGAAUACAUAUUUUCUAAACUAUCGUUAGAAUUUAUUAAAAUUUAUUAUUUUCUUGUAUCCAAAUCCAGAAGUAAAUUCACAAAUUCAAAAUUUCUCUUAAUUCAGAAAUUGUCUCAUAUUGCAUUUUUAAUAUAUUUUUUUUAUUUUUGAGAGGUGGUUGUUAUAGAAAUGUUCAAUUUGAUUUUUAUAGUUUUUUCCGUCCAAGAUUGAUUGGUAAAAAAUCCCUAUAUUGAGUUUAAUUUCUAUAGUUUCUAUUUUUUUUACUAAUGUUUAAAAUUUAUCUGAAUAUGAAUAAUUAGAAUGGUCGACAAAAAAAAUGUUUUUGAAGUAACACAAGAAUGAAUAGCAUAUUGUGAUAAAAUGGAAAAUAUGAAAAAAAUAAA